rnacentral:rRNA from 1 species
GAUGAACGCUUUCCUCUUUCCUAAUACAUGCAAGUCGAGCGAACAGACGAGGAGCUUGCUCCUCUGACGUUAGCGGCGGACGGGUGAGUAACACGUGGAUAACCUACCUAUAAGACUGGGAUAACUUCGGGAAACCGGAGCUAAUACCGGAUAAUAUAUUGAACCGCAUGGUUCAAUAGUGAAAGACGGUUUUGCUGUCACUUAUAGAUGGAUCCGCGCCGCAUUAGCUAGUUGGUAAGGUAACGGCUUACCAAGGCAACGAUGCGUAGCCGACCUGAGAGGGUGAUCGGCCACACUGGAACUGAGACACGGUCCAGACUCCUACGGGAGGCAGCAGUAGGGAAUCUUCCGCAAUGGGCGAAAGCCUGACGGAGCAACGCCGCGUGAGUGAUGAAGGUCUUCGGAUCGUAAAACUCUGUUAUUAGGGAAGAACAAAUGUGUAAGUAACUAUGCACGUCUUGACGGUACCUAAUCAGAAAGCCACGGCUAACUACGUG